AUGUAUCUGGGUUUCCUUAGUGAUAUUUUAAACACAUUUUUUUUCUGUCCUCCCAUACAGAGCGCAUACUUUUGGUGGAAUUCCUGUUGUGUGGGAGACCAGCUUAAUUCCAUUCACACACUCACACUCCCAGAUGUGGCCCCACGGGUUUAUUCCUAUCUCGCUGUUUCAACAGUCAGACGUUUGUUCUUCAGGCUGCUUGCUCCAGUAUCCUCGUCAGACAACCGCAGGGAGCCUUUGUGCAUUUAUUUAUUUAUUUGCUUGGUAUGCUUCAGUGUUUUGGGGGCUUUUCUUCCCACUGAGACUUGGAAUAUGAACAAAACAUGCAGUCACUUCCCACCAGGAUGUGUCCUUCUGGACAUCAGCAUACGUGCAAGAUGACAAUUUCAGGCAAGAAUUUUUUCUUCUAAUCUAUGAUUGAAUCAGUUGGGUGUCUGGGAGUGGGUUAGAGAACAUUUCUGAAGUUAAAGCUUGAAUGUUUUUCAUGUGGCUGGAGGUGAGGGCAGGCAUCCAGGAGACUCAGGCAGCAGCUGAGCAGCUCAGUGCCUAAGUGAUCUCUGCUCUUAGGAGGAUCAAUUGAAAGCUUAGGGGAAGAUAGGGCUCCCAGGAAGAUGGGUGCUUAAAAAUGAAUACUGUAAAUGUUACUCAGCAUACAAUUGAGGGAAAGCCAUCACUCACAGGAAGUGAUCACAAUUCUUUAUUAUCUGGGCCCUGUCACUAAUGAAACAUUCAGUGUAGAAGAAAUCAGUCCCCUUUGAGUUUAGGCUUGUCAUGAUGGCUCUGGGUUUCCUUCAUUCACAGCAAUCACACUUAAAAUGUUUACAGUCUGAAGACCUGAAAAACAUGUCCACACCCUUGAAUUCGUUGUAGUUACACAUGAGGUCAAUGUUAUCCAUCUUCAUUUAUCAAAUAAAGAAAUUGAAAAUAUAGUCUGUCAGAAAAUAAUUCCAAUUCAGAUCUUCAAGAGUUCACGUUUUAUUGUCCUAUUGUACUAGAGCUAUUUUUGUAAAACACACAUCUUUAAGCUUUCAGACAGAAUCGUGAAAACGUAAACUUAUCACACACAACAGCAUAAUAUGCAAUGCAGUGCAGUCUAGGAUAUACGCAUUAGUGUCAAUUUUUAAUUAAAAAAUGCUGAAUUUUGUUUAAAAAGUUUUUUUUUCCUGGAUCUGGAAAAGGAAAUGCUUUUCUGGAGUAAAACACAGAGGAUAAGGUAGAAUUCCUACCUGAAGUGCCUGUAGGAGAUUCCUACGUGAAUGAAUUUCACACGUUUUACAAGCUACUUUCUUCUCCUUUCUUUUUUCAAUCAUCUUAGCAGUCAUUGUUUAUUUUCUGGAGAUGAGUAGUUUUUAUUUAUACUAGAAAGCCCAUAGUUUUUACACAGGUUGCCUUUCAUUCUUGGUAAGACACUGAGAAAAGGAGAAAAAGAAAACUUUAGAGAUAGAGCAAUGGUAUAAUUGAUUGAAUGUUACAUGAACUGUCAAGAUCAGAACUUUCUCAUACUAUCUUAGGAAUAAAAAUAUGUUCUGGUUAGUAAUCCUCACCAAGUUUGGAAGGUUAGAGGUGACUCAGCCUCCAUGAAU
ensembl:lincRNA